rnacentral:ncRNA from 2 species
GGGUCCGGCGCGCAGGCUCCGGAGGUAUGGGAUGGUCGGGCCGCCAUCA